rnacentral:rRNA from 1 species
GUUUUCUUGUUUUAUUUGGGAAAUUUAGUCUGCCCACUGAUAAUAUUUUGAAGGGCUGCAGUAUUUUGACUGUGCAAAGGUAGCAUAAUCAUUAGUCUUUUAAUUGAGGACUGGAAUGAAUGGCUUGACGAGGUAAAAACUGUUUUUUAUAUAUUUAUUUGAAUUUUGUUAUUGGGUAAAAAAACUCAAAUUUUAUUAAGGGACGAGAAGACCCUAUAGAGUUUAAUAUUUAUUUUUAUAUUUAUUGUUUUUAAUUAAUUUUUUUUUAUUUGAGUUGAAUAUUUAAUUGGGGUGAUUUAAUAAUAAAUAUAACUUAUUAUUAUUGUUAAUUUUUAUUAAAAAUUAUUUGAUCCAUUAUUUAAUGAUUAAAGAUUAAAUUACCUUAGGGAUAACAGCAUAAUUUUUUUUGAGAGUUCUUAUUGAAAAUCAAGAUUAUGACCUCGAUG